CACCCACCAAAACAUAUUAUUUAAUACCAUUGAUAUAACACUUUGAUAAUUUUACACUUGUAAGUAUAUAUUUUUUAAGUACCAAAAUACUAGGAUUAAAUUAAUUUGUAUAUUCCUAACUACUGUUUAAACGUCAUUUUAGUUAGCGACUGUCACGUCACCCACCGUACUCAAGGUAGCGACUAUCACGUCACCCACCGUACUCAAGAAGAGAAUAGAUAUCACGGUACCUGAACCACGUGACUUUUUCGGCUAUGUGUGGGACAAUCGGAUGUAAACAAAACGUCGCUUCAGACUUGAAAAGGAUUAGUCGAAAGAUCUGUAACGCUUUUAAGGUUCGAAGCUGUGUAAGAACUACAUGAACACCAUCAAACCACACGGAAGGUGAUAUGUGGCAAGUUAAAAAUCAAAACCACGGUGACAGAGACAGGGACCCCGCUUCAUUCUGUGAUGUUUAUGGAAAGCUAUUUCAACUAACUACGCAAACAUACCAUUUAACAUGUAUUUUUGCAUAAGCAAAACAAAGUGUGUGUAUUGAUAUGUGUGUAUAUUUAUCGGUUUUGUAUCUAUGUUAUUACUAAAAUUGAUUAGAUGAAUAUAAAAUCUGAUAAUGUGUGUUAAUAAAACAGGUGUUUCAUAACAAAUAAUUUAAAUCCAAUGAUGCGUGUUUGUGGUCUAUUCCAAUAUCAUCUCCAUUUGAACAUCUUCGAAUCCAAUAAUGCUUGUUUGUGGUCUAUUCCAAUAUAAUCUCCAUGAAUAUCUUCAGUAUAUCAAAAUAAACACGUCAUUAAUAAUACCAUUACUUUAUAACUAGCAUGCACAUGUAACAAUAGAAAUUAAAGCGCCAAAUACAUAAAGAAGUACAUUAGUAUUCACAAAGAAAUUGUAAUCAGUCAAUUUAUGAAUUUGCAAAUCUUGCUAUUCAAACAUAUGAAUGCUUCAAUUAAGUCAUAACAAAUGAUCAUCGCCAAAACGUCUUGACUUGUGGGGGUCAUUAUGCCAACAAACAUAUUGAAUUGCAUCAAUACUUAAUUUACUCAAAUUCAAAUGAAAGCUGAAUAACUGACAAUAGUU